rnacentral:lncRNA from 1 species
AGGGGAGCCCCUGGGGGAGGGGGCAUGGUCCUGAACCUCAGGCUGCUGUGGAUGGGACCCCGCACCCAGGUGGAGAGGGCACGGCCUGGGCAGAGACCAGCCGUUCGACCACCUCAGUGGCAACAUCUUUGCGGCCUAAGUGGCCAUGUGCUUUCGUGGGAGGCGCUGCGAGUGACUGGGAGCCAAGCCUGGCGCCGGAGGGGGAGCAAUCCCGCGGGGCCCAGCUGCCUGCGGCGGCCCCGUUCAUCAUCGAGCACGUGCAGGGACUCCAGCGUCCUCUCUGGCCCUCCAGACGACCCUGCAGAGGUAGCUGGGACCCCUUCUGGCAGAAGAGGUGGCUGCAGCCCGAGGAUAGUGACAGGCCCCCGGUCACCUGGCUCCAGACCCAGGCUCUUCCCACCGCGGCCUCCUGCAGGCCCUUCCCUCAUCGGCUGCAGCCUGGGGCAGAGAGCGGGGUCUGAGCCUCACAGGCGCAUCCCUGGGCCCGAGCGGAGGGCCGGGCACACAGCAGCCCUCGACGAAGACUGGCUGAAUGGACAAGUGAGUGGAUGAACGGAUGAGUGGAUGAGAAAUACGUAAGCUCUGGUCUGCUUAGGAAAAGAGAAUGACAGUCCCUACAGGAGCUUCCACUCUGUGGCUUAAACACAAG